rnacentral:rRNA from 1 species
CGGACGGGUGAGUAACGCGUGGGUAACCGUGCCUCAUACAGGGGAGUAACAGUUGGAAACGACUGCUAAUACCGCAUAAGCGCACAGGAUCGCAUGAUCCGGUGCGAAAAACUCCGGUGGUAUGGGAUGGACCCGCGUCUGAUUAGCCAGUUGGCAGGGUAACGGCCUACCAAAGCGACGAUCAGUAGCCGACCUGAGAGGGUGACCGGCCACAUUGGGACUGAGACACGGCCCAA